UCUCUGCCUACUUGUGAUCUCUGUCUGUCAAAUAAAUAAAUAAAAUCUUUAAAAAAAAAAAAAGCUAAGAUUCUGUCUGCAUCACACUUGAGCAAUAAAUUUUUCAUUGCCUUAAAAUUAAAAAAAAAAUUUUUUUUUCAUUGCCUUAAGGGAAAUCGAGUAGGCAGACUUAUUUUUAGUAAAUGAUGACUGUAUUGGUCCCAAGUACUAUUUAAUCUUUACAACUAAAAAGGUAAUAGAUGGAGAAUUUUGAUUGUCACUACAAAAUAAACAAGCAACCAGUUUUCUUGAUUGAUUUAAAGCAGACUUAAUGAUGACCUUGUAUCAUCUAUCCUUUUUAAAAUCUUGGCUGUUCUUGUAGGUGAAAGGGUCAGGUUAAUGUAAAGCUUUUGGAGAUUGUGCUCUAAGUUUUCUAAAAUGAUUAAGCACACACAGUCUUCUCCCUCUUGGAGGUGGAAGUGGAGGAGGGUGAGGGAGAGUUACCUCUUAACUGUUGUCCUUUGUUCCUUCUAAGCUAGUUGCUGUGUAUAUCUUUAUUUUGUGAGUAAAAAAUAAAUGUUGAGAAAAAUAUAACUUUUAAAAAUCUAAAGAAUUUAUUCUUAAAGCUGCAUCUAAUUGUAUAUAGCUUAUUUUUUUUAAACUGUUUGUUGCACCUGGAUUCUAGCCAUAGUGAAACACUUGGUGAGUUUUACUUUUUCUUUUUUUCCAUUUUACUGAAGUAAACUCUGGCCAGGUUCAAUUUGAGGAGCUGAUGAAAUAGAAAAUUUGUCUUUGAGCUCUCAUUUUAACAGCCUCAAAGUAGGUUUCCAUAAUAGCCAUUAUCUUUGAAAUCUGCCUUCUGUGGUUUUUUGAGAAUAGGAAGGUAUGUCCUUGAUUCUGUAUGAAGUAGAUUUUUUGCUCUUUGUAUUUUUAAGAUACAUCCUUGGGGAAAAUGCUUUAAUUAAUGAUUCUCUAUAGUAUCCAAUAAAGCAGACUUCUAAAAAGAAUACUAUGACGGAUCAAGGUAAAUUGUUUUUGAUAAUUACACAAGUGAGAUUUCUUUGUUAGCAGCUAUCAGACAUAGCUUUCCUUAAUUACAGAGUUUGAACACUAAACUACAAAUAGAAGAGAUUGGAGGAAUUGUGGUCUGGUCUCUUCUCUAGAAAUAUGUCUUCAAUAGCAGAGAAAGGAAUUAUCAAGAGAAAAUAGAAAACUGCAAUACUUUAAAAGUUCCAUUAGGCUUUUUUUUUUUAAAGACAGAAAUAAAUAGGAUAGAGAAGGGUCUCCCAUCCAAGUACUAACAGGCCUGACCCAGUUUAGCUUCUGAGAUAAAAUAUUAGCAGAAUUUUUGCUGAGACAUAAAAUUGAUGAAAUGCUACUCAGAAUAAUGGGGAAUGUAAGGAAGGAAGAAUAAACCAGAGAGGUUUGGUUAAAGUUAGUCAUACUAUUUAUGGCAGUAAUUUUCCUUUUAACAGUUGUCAUAAAAGCCUUUUUUUUUUUUUUUUAACAAAUAGUGUAGAAAUAACAUAUUUUUUUUUAACUUUCAAAGUCACAGGCAGUUUGUGAAGGAAGCAGCUUGGCUGUGAACUUGAAGCACUCCGUCAUCUGCUGCCUGCUGGUGCUGCUUCUGGGUUUUCCCUCCAGAAAACCACAAAGGCCAGAAGUGGUGCAAAAAAACAGAGCAUCUUCAGCAGGUGAUCUGAAGAUUUGACAGCUAGAAACUGGAGCUAGAAAAUCCAGAGAAUUCAAGCUGUGUUGUUUUAAACAUGGUGGUAUCUUGAGCUACACUUAAAAGCUGGUAACAGUUAACUGAAUUCCAGGAUUGUAAUUUAUUUCAGAAGGUGUUUCUCCAGUAUCCAGUGUCUUCAACAAACGAAAAAGGCCAGCAGCUUCUCGUAUCCUACUGAAUUCAAUAC